CCCGAGCCAACAGAUCAGCAAAAUCCCUGGGGUACUUCUUCUCCAGGGAGAACAAAAGGUCAUUCUUCUGAAGGCCGCCCUUCAGAGCGGCCAUUGCUACCGAUUGGUCCAAAUUCUGGACCUCCAGCACUGCGACAUUGAAGCGGUUGAUGUAGGCCCGAAUGGACUCCCCCUCCCUCUGCCUGAUAUUCAUGAGGGACUCCGAGCCCUUCCGGGGGCAUCGGCUGCUGACAAAAUGGGCCA
rnacentral:lncRNA from 1 species